UAACACGUAGGAACGUACCCCAAACUGAGGCAUAAGCACCAGAAAUGGUGUCUAAUACCGCAUGUGCUCUUCGGAGUAAAGCUACGGCGGUUUGGGAACGGCCUGCGCAUGAUUAGCUUGUUGGUGAGGUAAUAGCUCACCAAGGCGACGAUCAUUAGCUGGUCUGAGAGGAUGAUCAGCCAGACUGGGACUGAGAACGGUCCAG
rnacentral:rRNA from 1 species